UACGAAGGGGGCUAGCGUUGCUCGGAAUUACUGGGCGUAAAGGGCGCGUAGGCGGCCUUCUAAGUCGAACGUGAAAUCCCUGGGCUCAACCCAGGAACUGCGUCCGAUACUGGGAGGCUUGAGUUCGGGAGAGGUGAGUGGAACUGCGAGUGUAGAGGUGAAAUUCGUAGAUAUUCGCAAGAACACCCGUGGCGAAGGCGGUUCUCUGGGACGGUACUGACGCUGAGACGCGAAAGCGUGGGGAGCGAACAGG
rnacentral:rRNA from 1 species